UACGAAGGGUGCAAGCGUUGUUCGGAUUUAUUGGGCGUAAAGCGCGCGUAGGCGGACCUGCAAGUCAGAUGUGAAAUCUCGGGGGCUCAACCCCGAACUAGCGUCUGAAACUAACAGGUCUAGAAUCUUGGUAGGGGGGAAGGGGGAAGUUUCGUCAUGUAGGGGUAAAAGUACCGUAGAUAUGCGAAGGAACACCAGAGGCGAAGGCGCCUUCCUGGACAAGUAUUGACGCUGAGGCGCGAAAGCGUGGGGAUCAAACAGGAUUAGAA
rnacentral:rRNA from 1 species